GCCCAGGUGGUGGAAUCGGCAUACACGAAGGACUUAAAAUCCUUUGCCAGCAAUGGCUUGCGAGUUCGAGUCUCGCUCUGGGCACCA
rnacentral:tRNA from 1 species